rnacentral:lncRNA from 1 species
AUAGAAGGAAGACUGGGUAUAUAGAAGAUGCGGCAUUCCAAAAUUGUAUGCAUCAGAAGGGGAAGCCAUUUCUCCUGUGGCAACUUUGAGCCUAGCUACUUCGUGCUUCAGUGCUUCAUUCAGUGCUGUGUUUCAGAAACAGUUUCAGGUAAGAUAUUUUCCUAUGAAUUAUCUCUCACAUGGAUCAUAUUGGGAAAAUACGUGUAAAAAAAAAAAUCAUAGGUGGCUGAAAAAUAUGUGACGAGAUUUUUUAUAUUUUUUUUGUCUUUUCGUACUCAUCACAUUAUAGGUGGACCUAAAUAUUUGUCAAUGUGGUCCAUAAAAUUUUUACUGGUAAGUGGCCAUGAGUGAAUGAGCCAAAAUGAUGUUUACAGACCACAACUGUAAUAAGAAGUUAUCAAAAGGAUCUGACACUUGUACCAAUUCUCAGUACAUAAUGAGCUCAUGAUUCAUAAUAUUUUCAAUGCUAAUGAACAAUGUUACUUGGAUUCGGGUGCGGUGCAGGCUUGUGUCUGAGUCAAGAUAUCUAAUUUCCAAGUGCAUGGACAUGGAAAAACGGCAUCAUAUCCAAUUUCUUAAGACUCUUCUUUUAUUUUCUACGGAUAAAAUGGUUUUUUUAUG